rnacentral:rRNA from 1 species
UACGAAGGGGGCUAGCGUUGCUCGGAAUGACUGGGCGUAAAGGGCGCGUAGGCGGAUGGCACAGUCAGAUGUGAAAUUCCCGGGCUUAACCUGGGGGCUGCAUUUGAUACGUGCGAUCUUGAGUUCGGAAGAGGGUCGUGGAAUUCCCAGUGUAGAGGUGAAAUUCGUAGAUAUUGGGAAGAACACCGGUGGCGAAGGCGGCGACCUGGUCCGAUACUGACGCUGAGGCGCGAAAGCGUGGGGAGCAAACAGG